GGGCGCUUAGCUCAGCUGGUUCAGAGCGUCUGCCUUACAAGCAGAGGGUCGGGGGUUCGAAUCCCUCAGCGCCCAC
rnacentral:tRNA from 1 species